rnacentral:rRNA from 1 species
GACGAACGCUGGCGGCGUGCUUAACACAUGCAAGUCGAACGGUAAGGCCCUUCGGGGUACACGAGUGGCGAACGGGUGAGUAACAAGUGGGUGAUCUGCCCUGCACUUCGGGAUAAGCCUGGGAAACUGGGUCUAAUACCGGAUAGGACCACUGCCUGCAUGGGUGGUGGUGGAAAGCUUUUGCGGUGUGGGAUGGGCCCGCGGCCUAGCAGCUUGUUGGUGGGGUGAUGGCCUACCAAGGCGGCGACGGGUAGCCGGCCUGAGAGGGUGACCGGACACACUGGGACUGAGAUACGGCCCAGACUCCUACGGGAGGCAGCAGUGGGGAAUAUUGCACAAUGGGCGCAAGCCUGAUGCAGCGACGCCGCGUGAGGGAUGACGGCCUUCGGGUUGUAAACCUCUUUCAGCACCGACGAAGCGCAAGUGACGGUAGGUGCAGAAGAAGGACCGGCCAACUACGUGCCAGCCGCCGCAGUAA